GACGAACGCUGGCGGCGUGCUUAACACAUGCAAGUCGAACGGAAAGGCCCUGCUUUUGUGGGGUGCUCGAGUGGCGAACGGGUGAGUAACACGUGAGUAACCUGCCCUUGACUUUGGGAUAACUUCAGGAAACUGGGGCUAAUACCGGAUAGGAGCUCCUGCUGCAUGGUGGGGGUUGGAAAGUUUCGGCGGUUGGGGAUGGACUCGCGGCUUAUCAGCUUGUUGGUGGGGUAGUGGCUUACCAAGGCUUUGACGGGUAGCCGGCCUGAGAGGGUGACCGGCCACAUAGUGCCUGGGGUACGGCCCAGACUCCUACGGGAGGCAGCAGUGGGGAAUAUUGCACAAUGGGCGGAAGCCUGAUGCAGCAACGCCGCGUGGGGGAUGACGGCCUUCGGGUUGUAAACCACUUUCGCCUGUGACGAAGCGUGAGUGACGGUAAUGGGUAAAGAAGCACCGGCUAACUACGU
rnacentral:rRNA from 1 species